rnacentral:rRNA from 1 species
GUCUACAGCCAUGCUACCCUGAACAAGCCCAAUCCUGUCUGAUCUCGGAAGCUAAGCAGGGUCGGGACUGGUUAGUACUUGGAUGGGAAACCACCUAGGAAGACCAGGUGCUGUAGACA